CCGAGUUGGCGAGGGGCGUGGGCCGUGACGUCACCGCGCCCUGACGUCGGGCAGACGUGUAGCAUGGUCUCCCGGGAGACCGGGAAAGCCGUUCGCACUCGGAGUCGAGGUCUAGAGAGAUUUUCUGGGUUGGCAGUAUUUUCUUCAAUCAGAACCUGCCAAAUUUUCCUACUUGCUAUAUAAGAAGGACCCAAAGUUGGAAUACCUUUACAGAUAAAGAAGAUUAUUUUACUUCAGAACUCCCUCUGCAUAUUUUGAGAAAUUAUGGAUCGUCACAUCCCCAUGCACGCAUUACCUGAAGAAAUCCAAAAGGUGGGUGAAGUGUGUCACUCUUAGUUGUGGGAGCAGUUUCUACAGUCUUAAGGGAGUUUUCAUUAAGAAUGUCCCCUGAAGAAAAAGUUUGUAAGUACUGUGGAGUCAGCUAUCUAAUUCUUCACGAGUUUAAAGCUAUGGAAGAAAAAAUGAAAGCGAUGGAAAAAGAGAUGAAAUUUUAUCAAGGAAGUGUAGAUCGUGAAAAGAGACUUCAAGAAAAGCUACGGUCUCUUAGUCAAGAUUUUGAACAGUACAAAAUUGACAAUGAAUCCAAAACAGAAAGAAUUUGGGAUGCAAGUAUGCAGUUAAAAAGUCAACAAAAUGAAUUGAAGAGAGUACAGAAAGAAUUGAGUCAUUUGCAACAUGAAUUAAAUAUUAAACAGAGACAAUCACAAGCAUUCAGUCAAAGAUUGGUGGAGUACAAAUAUUUGUGGAAUAAGACUCUUUCAUUACUUACUUUUACUAAAAGGGAGCUAACCAGUAUUAAAAAUGAAGUAUAUGACAAUUUUCAAAACUGGACUUCACUGAAAGGAGAAGUUUUUCUACAAAUUAAAUCCAUAAGUGAAACAGCCUUGACAGAAAUAGAGAUACUAAAGAAAAGUUUGACAGUGUCCCAGAGAAAUAAGAUGUGCCUUGAAGAGGAAAUGAAAAAUCUGAAAUUGUUGUCAGAUGCAGCCAUACUGAGGUCUCAGCAGAUUCAGACAUCCCAACAACAGGAAGCAAACUUGCAAACCAGAUGCCAUGACUUGGAAAAAGAAGUACUAGGUUUACAAUGUCAAGUAGAGGCACUUGGUCUAAAACAUCAGAAGGCAGUGACAGAGAUUGACAACUAUAAAGAAAAGCUCAUGAAUAAAUCUGAUGAAGCUGAUGACUGUCAAAGAGAACUUAGAAAACUGAAGUUUGAAUCCAUUAUUUCUGAGUCACGGCAUACCAGAUUGCUUAAAGAGAAAGAGGAUUCUUUAAUGGCUUGUCAACAAAUAUAUAAAACUUUACAGGAAGAACUGACUGUGAAAAAAAGACAAGAAGAAGACAUAAAAAGAAGAAUUAACUUUGCAGAAAAUGAACUACAGAUAACCAAAACUCUUCUGCAUCAGACAAAGGAAGAGGUUGUAACGCUGAAAAGUGAAAGGGAAUUAAUGCUGAUUUCACAUCAGAAAAGCAUCGAGCAGCUGCAGGAAACCCUUAGACAGAAGCUGCUGAAUGAUGAUAACUGGAGAGAGAAGAUUGAAGCUGAACUUGCCAAGGAAAGAGCCCAGCAUUUAGUUGAGUUUGAGGAGCAAGCUCUGCUUUUUAAAGCAGAAGCUAAACUGGAACUUGAUAUUGAAAAGGAAAAACAUCAAGAAAUAAUCUGUAAAUAUAAGAAAGAACAAGAGGAACUAAAAAUGAAGAUAUCUGAUUUAAUCACAAGUGCUACUAGAGAUCUAAAGCUGGAAGUGGCCACCCUUGAAGAAAAACUCCAUGAAUCUUGUAUCCGACAUACUGAAGAUUCUGAAUCAAAGGAGAAAGAAAUUGAAAACCUUAAAAAUUUGGUUGCAGAAUUUGAAGCCCGCCUGAAGAAAGAAACUGACAGUAACGAAUCCAUUUCAGAGGACUUGAGGAAGGAAAUGAAGCUGAAGUCCGAUGAGCUAGAUAGAGUAAUGCUGGCACAAACACAACUGAUGCAGCAGUUUAACCAGUCCCAGGAACAGAACACUUUUCUUCAGGAAACAGUGCGCAGGGAGUGUGAAGAACGCUUUGAACUGACACAGGCUUUGAGCCAAGCCAGAGAACAGCUUCUGGAGCUCAGGAAGCUCAGUGGAAGUUUACCUUUGUCGCCGUGUUCCCUUAACCAGGGCAGCCUAACCUCCUCUGCUGCAGUGGUCAGCAGUCGGGGAGAGAGAAGCCUUACAAGACUGAACUCUGGAAAAGGAAUCAAAAUCCCCAGCCUGUAUGGAGUGUCAAAACCCACCACUGCCCCAACCUCAGUUCAACCCAAGAGGGUCAGCAGCUCAGGUACAUUCUUAACUCUCAAUGGCCCCCAGAUACCCAGAGUUUCUGCAACCAUUCCCACCCCUCCAGAAUUAGGACAGCUCUCGAAGGACACAGGGAAAGAUUCCAGGGAAGGCAAAUCCAACCAACCUCACCAGGUUCAAGCGCUUGCCCUGGGGCCAGGGACAGGAAGGCACCUUGACUAAACAGCUUCCCAUGUGUGGAAGAGGAAGAAGAGACCAGAUUCCUUCCGCAGAUACCUCCAUCAUCAAGGCAGGCAGUGACAGCAUGACAAAGGGGACAGUGUUUUAUUUGCUUUGUGUGUUUGGGGUAACUAAGUGCUGGCCCCAUGAGGCCUGACCAGUGGGACUUUGCUAACUGUGAGGAGGCAGCCUGGAUAUAUCACAGCAAGAAGAUGGUUUCCACAGGGCACGAAGCUGGAGGGUGUUAUCUCUGUCACUGUUCACGAGGCAGCGGUGAUGUAGGCACCAUUACUUCCACGGGUGCUCACAAGGACACUGAGGCUGGGAGAAGCCCAGUGACUAACUCAAACCCCAUGACCAUGUGCUGGCAGCCUAAAACCCAGCCAGGGCUUUCCAACUCUGACUGUGCUUUGCAUUCAGUAAGCCCUGAUUUUUAGUUUCUCCCACCAGUACGACUAUACCGAUCCCUGCCUGCCAGCUCUCUCCCCAGCCAGCCCACAGGGGUCAUCUCCUUGGCAGCUGAGGCAGACAGAAGGGGCCAGACACUCAGCCAGGGCCUGGAGCCCACUGGCCCCGGGGCCCCACGUGCACUCUGGACCACAUCUCAUGCUGCCCGCCCUGCAUUCCAAACCCCGGUCACAGCUCCAGAAAGAUGCACAUUUUAAAGCAGUACUAUUGUCUGGCUUGUAAGCCUAGUUUCUGGGAGGGGGAGAGAGAGAAUGAAUCUCAAGCAGACACCACGCCGAAUGUGACCUUGGGAUCAUGACCUGAGCGGAAAUCAAGAGUCAGCUGUUCAACCGACUCAGCCACCCAGGCGCCCUGACCCAGCAGCCAUUUAAAGGUUUGUCCCUAUGGACGCCUUCAUGAUUUCUCUCUAGCUUUCUCUAAAAAUGAAGUGGAGGAACGUCCGUGAUGCCUGGAACAUAUCAAUUCAAAGGUCAUGAGUUGAAAUGUGAUAACAACUCAGAUUACAGGAUUGUCAACUUCCAAGCUCCCAUGACCUUAACUGAAGGGCUGAAGGGUUGGGACGAGACCAAGAGGGCUUAACAACACUGUGAGCUGCCAUAGCAUUGGAUGUGCUGAGUGCUCAAAAUUCAGGUAUUGUCCGAUUAAUCCACAUAUUCUUUUACUACACACUUAGGGGAUGCUAUUAUAAGAUUCCCGCCUCAGCUAGGAAUUCAGUUAGCUACCAGAUGUCCUCCUGCUGGGAUCCUGGCUUCUACAAAACAGCCACUGGCCCAUCUCAGGAGUGCUGUUUUAUCACUAUGCUAUGCUAGGCACUAGGGACCGGAAGGUGAAGAAAAGUGUCCUUCCCCCCAGGAGUUGCAGCCUAGCAGGCCCAUCAAUCAGGAUAGCACAGUGCGGUGUGCUACAGCACAGGCAGGGGCAAGGUGCCGUGUCCCCAAGGCAAGGGACAGGAGCUCUGCCUGACUGAAUCAGGAAGGUUUUCCAGGAGGCACAUCUAAGCCAGGGGUCAAGGGGUAAGCAAGAAUUUAGCUGGAGAAGAGGAGACUGGUUGUUUUGGGCAGAAAAAGUAGCUUAUACAGAGUCACAAAGACACCUAAGAAUAAGGUGUGACCAAAAAGUAAUGGCCCACGGGUGAUGGUGGGGCUAUAGCAGGAGGUGAGACUGGAGACGGCACUGGUGGGUCACGUAGGCCCUUCACUACCUGCUUUGGGUACUGGUGUUAGUAUUAGAGGUUCUCUUCCUGCAUGACAAAUCACCCCAAAACUUAGGUGCUUAAAACAACAAACAUGUAUUCUCUCACCAUUCCUGCGGGUCAGGAAUCCAGGCAUGGUUUAGUGGUCCUCUGACUCAAGGUCUCACGGGCUGCAAUCCAGGUAUCAGCCAGGGCCGCAGUUACCUCAAGGUUCGACUGGGGGAGGAUCACCUUCCAGGCUCACUCGCCUGGCCGUCAGCCAAUCUCAGGUCCUCGCUGGCUGCUUGCUAGAGACAUCAGUUCCUUGCCACAUGGGCCUCUCCAUAGGGCAGCUCACAACUUGGCAGCUGGCAGAGAGAGAGAGAAAGAGAGAGAAAGACAGAUGACAGAGACAGAGAAACAGGGAGAGAGGUCGAGAGAAAGACACGGUCUUUUUGUAAUCUAAUCUCAGAAAUGACAUCCCAUCCCUUUUGUUCAUUCUGUUGAAAGAGACUCACCAGGUCCAGCCCACAUGCCCACAGGUGAGGGGGUUUACACAGGGUGUGAAUACUCGCAGGUGAUGAUCACCGGGGUCAUUUUAGAGGCUGCCUACCACAUACAUGAGAGCUAUUUAAGACACAAUCCCAGCAUCAUCCCAUUCUGCAUAAAUUAUAGAGAGAGACAUAUAAUUUCACUGCCUAUGAGGUUGUUUUUGUUGAUGGGUACACUCUGGUCCCGAAGAGCCCUGAAGAACAAUGUGCUUCAUUUCACAUCUCUCCCUAAGGAUUUUAUACAACCCACUUGGCACUCACGCCGUUAUUAUUACGUGGAUUCAGCCCAAAGCUGCCUGUGUGGGUAGAGAGAGGUGGGAAGGUGAGGAGGCAGAGAGAGGAAGUGAUCGGGACCCCAGAUUGGACGAGAAAAAGGUCACACGCCAACUGAAAAUUAGAAAUGAAUCUGAGUGGAACUAAGUAUCGUGGUUGACAGCUCACACACGCGGAGCCAACUUGCCACAGCUUGGCCGCAGACCUUGGUUUUCCCACACGCAACUGAAAAUAACUAACAUUCAUCCUGAGGGAGUGCCACUAAAAUAAGUAACUACUGGGAGCUAUACCUCACUGUUCAUUCAAGCUGGAAGCAGUCUGCAAUUACUUGGCUGAAAUUAGACACAAAUUAAAUUGCCACUUCCGGAACCCUUUUCUCCGGUACUAUAUUGCAAAACAGAAACUGCUUUUUGAACUCUGACGGUUUAGAUUUUGUUUCCUUCCUUACAAAUAAAUGCGAUAUCCGACAGACUCUCCACAAGGGCAGAUUACUGACACUAACCUCUCGGGAGACCUAAUCUUUUCAGAAGCCUGGUUUUCUGAGUUGCAGACCUGGGUUUAAUUGUUAUGGACAGAGUGACAGGCUGGUGAAAGGGACUAGAGAGGAGAGCUACUUGCCCACAUUUGAAGUAGAGUGCAUGGUGGAGGAGAGGGGGCUAGCAGAGAAUUUUGCCCUGAGAUAUAUGUGGAUGGCUUUGCUCCCAGUUUUUUUGGUCAUCUGAAAGCUCUCAGGUCUGCAUCCAUCUAAUUUUUUUUUUUUAAUUUUUUCAAUCUUUGUGUUUGAGAGAGAGACAGAACGUGAGCAGGGGAGGAGCAGAGAGAGAAGGAGACACAGAAACCGAAGCAAGCUCCAGGCUCUGAGCUGUCAGCACACAGCUGGACACGGGGCUCGAAUUCAUGAACCGCGAGAUCAUGACCUGAGCCGAAGUUGGAUGCUCAACCAGCUGAGCCACCCAAGGCAUCCCAUUCUGCAUCCAUUCAAAUAUGGAAGUUCUCCUAUGAUUUUUAAAAACAAAAUUAACACACAUACGUGAAAACAGUAAUAAUGAUACCUCGAGGGUCUCCCCUCAAACUUGUCUAAGAAGGAACUGGCAUGCAGAUAAUGUGGGUGUUUGGGGGUUUUCUGUUACAAAAGAGCCUGAACUGUAUUAUCUCCUUAAUAAAACACCAUCUUCCUGUCAAGGAAGAACCUGCCA